rnacentral:rRNA from 1 species
CCUGGUGCCUAUGGCGCGGUGGAACCACACUGAUACCUUCCCGAACUCAGAGGUGAAACGCUGCUGCGGCUACGAUAGUUGGAGGGUCGCCUCCUGCCACAAUUGCUCGACGCCAGGU